CCGCAUCGCUGCCGUACCCCGGCGAAGGCCGGGGCCCAGUUGCGGAACGCCCCGAUGGAGUCGCCGACAUUGCCCACCUGGACCCCGGCCUUCGCCGGGGUACGCAGCGAUCAGU
rnacentral:pre_miRNA from 1 species